GACGGAGGGAGCAAGCGUUGUCCGGAUUUACUGGGCGUAAAGCGCGCGUAGGCGGCCUUUUAAGUCGGCGGUGAAAGCGCUGGGCUCAACCCAGCAAUUGCCGUCGAUACUGAUGGGCUCGAGUCCGGGAGAGGGAAGCGGAAUUCCUGGUGUAGCGGUGGAAUGCGUAGAUAUCAGGAAGAACACCGGUGGCGAAGGCGGCUUCCUGGACCGGCACUGACGCUGAGGCGCGAAAGCUAGGGGAG
rnacentral:rRNA from 1 species